UCUCCGUAGGUGAACCUGCGGAAGGAUCAUCAAAGAACAACGUUCUUUCUUAUACACACCUUUUGUGCAAUUUGUGUGGGAGUUUGGGAAAAAGUGAAAAUUUUUUUUCACUCUUUUUCGACUCCCACACCUUUUUUUACAAAAUAAACCCCUUUUUAUACCAAACUUACAAAUACCAAAAAUUCAUAACCAAAGACAACUUUUAACAACGGAUCUCUUGGCUCUCGCAUUGAUGAAGAACGCAGC
rnacentral:misc_RNA from 1 species